rnacentral:rRNA from 1 species
GUCUACGGCCAUGCUACCCUGAAUAAGCCAGAUCCUGUUUGAAGCUAAGCAGGGUCGGGCCUGAUUAGUACUUGGAUGAGAGACCACCUAGGAAGACCAAGUGCUGUAGGAG